rnacentral:rRNA from 1 species
GAUGAACGCUAGCGAUAGGCUUAACACAUGCCAGUCGAGGGGCAGCGAGGGUAGCAAUACCUGUCGGCGACCGGCGCACGGGUGAGUAACGCGUAUGUAACCUGCCCGCAACAGGGGGAUAACCCGGCGAAAGUCGGACUAAUACCGCAUAAAACAGGGGCCCCGCAUGGGAAUAUUUGUUAAAGAUUUAUCGGUUGCGGAUGGGCAUGCGUACCAUUAGGUAGUUGGUGAGGUAACGGCUCACCAAGCCUUCGAUGGUUAGGGGUUCUGAGAGGAAGGUCCCCCACACUGGUACUGAGACACGGACCAGACUCCUACGGGAGGCAGCAGUGAGGAAUAAUGGUCAAUGGGCGAGAGCCUGAACCAGCCAAGUCGCGUGAAGGAUGACUGCCCUAUGGGUUGUAAACUUCUUUUACAAGGGAAUAAAAUGAGAUACGUGUAUUUUAUUGCAUGUACCUUGGGAAUAAGCAUCGGCUAACUCCGUG